CCUACGGGAGGCAGCAGUGAGGAAUAUUGGUCAAUGGGCGCGAGCCUGAACCAGCCAAGUAGCGUGAAGGAUGACUGUCCUACGGGUUGUAAACUUCUUUUAUAAAGGAAUAAAGUGAGGCACGUGUGCCUUUUUGUAUGUACUUUAUGAAUAAGGAUCGGCUAACUCCGUGCCAGCAGCCGCGGUAAUACGGAGGAUCCGAGCGUUAUCCGGUUUUAUUGGGUUUAAAGGGGGCGUAGAUGGGUUGUUAAGUCAGUUGUGAAAGUUUGCGGCUCAACCGUAAGAUCGCAAUUGAUACUGGCAAUCUAGAGUAGAGUUGAGGUAGGCGGAAUUCGUGGUGUAGCGGUGAAAUGCUUAGAUAUCACGAAGAACUCCGAUUGCGAAGGCAGCUUACUAAGCUGCUACUGACAUUGAGGCACGAAAGCGUGGGUAUCAAACAGGAUUAGAUACCCCUGUAGUC
rnacentral:rRNA from 1 species